rnacentral:rRNA from 1 species
UAGGGAAUCUUCGGCAAUGGACGAAAGCCUGACCGAGCAACGCCGCGUGAGUGAAGAAGGUUUUCGGAUCGUAAAACUCUGUUGGUAGAGAAGAACGUUGGUGAGAGUGGAAAGCUCAUCAAGUGACGGUAACUACCCAGAAAGGGACGGCUAACUACGUGCCUG